AUUAGCCGGAUUUUUUUCGAAAAAAUCUCGGCUUAUAGAUUGAUGUUGUCGGGCGGGCGGGGUGGCGGCGUGCUCGAAAAUGUUAAAGUUCUUAUUUCAUGGUAUAACUUUGGUAUGCUUGGACCUAGAGUCUUCAAACUUGACAUGAAGGUUGGCCAGGAUUAACAGAUGACCACUGGUCAUUUCAAGGUCAUUCAUUUGAAGGUGAAGGUCACUGUGACCUUCAAUAUAAAAAUGUUAAAGUUGUUAUUACUUUGGUAUGCUUGGACCUAGAGUCUUGAAACUUGACAUGAAGGUUGGCCAGAACUAGUAAGUAACCACUGGACAUUUCAAGGUCAUUCAUUUGAAGGUCAAGGUCACUGUGACCUUGAAUGUAAAAAUGUUAAAGUUGUUAUAACUUUGGUAUGCUUGGACCUAGAGUCUUGAAACUUGACAUGAAGGUUGGCCAGAACUAGUAAGUAACCACUGGACAUUUCAAGGUCAUUCAUUUGAAGGUCAAGGUCACUGUGACCUUGAAUGUAAAAAUGUUAAAGUUCUUAUUUCAUGUUAUAACUUUGGUAUGCUUGUACCUAGAGUCUUCAAACUUGAAAUAAAGAUUGGCCAGUACUAGAAGAUGACCACUGGUCAUUUCAAUGUCAUUCAUUUGAAGGUCAAGGUCACUGUGACCUUAAAUGUUAAAAUGUUAAAAUUGUUAUAACUUUGGUA